UAGUCAUAUGCUUGUUUCAAGGACUAAGCCAUGCAUGCCUCAGAAUCACUGCACUGCAGGAAUCUGCGCAUGGCUCAUUACAUCAGACGUAAUCUGCCGCAAAAAUCUUGCGGUCUCCGCAUUAUUGGAUACCUUGGCGAAACGCCAAGCUAAUACAUGAAUUACGGGGUAUCCUCCACUCCAACCGGCCGUCAAAAGCUGGUGCGAGGUGCCUUGCGAAUGAAUGAAAUUAAGACCAUCGCCGCGCAAGCGGCAGCAACACAAGCAGUGUUGACUCAAUUCAUUCUGCGAAAGCCGAUCUAUCGGCGUCUUUUGAUGAACAACUGCCCUAUCAGCCGUGAUGGCCGUGUAGUGGACUGCCAUGGCGUUGACGGGAGCGGGGGAUUAGGGUUCGAUUCCGGAGAGGGAGCCUGAGAAAUGGCUACCACUUCUACGGAGGGCAGCAGGCGCGUAAAUUGCCCAAUGCCAAAACAAAUGGUGAGGCAGCGAAAAGAAAUAGGUCUUCCACACCUCUUUACGGGGUCUGGGAGUUUGCAAUGGGGGAUAUCUAAAGCCAUCCAAUAUCGAGUAACGAUU
rnacentral:rRNA from 1 species